AUAAUAUAUAAUAAUGUAAUAUAAUAUAAUAUAUUUAAUAUAAUAUAAUAUAAAUAUAUAUAUUUAACUAGAAUCAUGUGUUUUCAGGACAAAUAAAGCAAUGUGGGCUUACAUACAAGUUAAUUUUAAGUUUGAUUUUAGGUGUUGAGCUUGGUCAGCUAAAGAAGCCAAGUGAACAUGGAAUGAUUGGAUGAAGUACUGCAUAAAUGUGAGUUGUUGACGUAGGAGUAACCAUGUCAAUGACCAAUGUCUCAGACCAAUAAGGAUUUGGCAAGGCCCACACAUGUGUGUCUGGCUCAGAAUUAUCAAGCCUACUUCAUAUCUGACUGUGAAUAUUGUCAGUGUGUGCCAAACCACAGCCACAGCUCCCUCCUCCCAGAUGUUUACAGACUACCACACCUCACAGAUAACUCUUAGCAAGAUUAGCUAACUCUUGCCACCUGAGCUGCAUCUAAUGAAGAUGCUGAGGUUCUGGCUGUUGCAGUAGUUCAUACCAUUCCAACAUCAUUCACACAACCCAUCUGACUCUAUUUUCUCUCUGGGUGUCUGUUCUUUUCUUCAUCCCCUCACUGUUCCAGCCAGGGUUCCAGACCCAAGCUUUGAAAGACAAAGGAAUGAACACGGAGUUAAAGAGGGACAGUCCAAAAGUCCAAUGAGUGUUGAUUUUAGGCAUGAGAACUAAUACAAUUUAGAACACCAUGCCAACAACCUGAAACCUUUAACUGAAAACCAGGAUUUUAAAGUGUCAUUGCUUACCACCGUUCAGAGAAACCAAGAAAGUGGAGAUGAAUUGCCCUGGGAAGGAAAUACGGUAUUUCCUUUCCCUUUGCAAAGAAUAGAAAGUAGAGUAGGCCAAAUGCCCUUGUUGCUAAACAGACGACAAACCAUUGGAUUAAUAAUGACUGCCUAAGCUUCCUUCAUAAAGGUCCACUCAAGAAGUUGCUGAUGACACUUAAUAUAUUACAGACAACUGCUGAUAUGCAUUAUAAAAUGUUUUAUUUCUAAUAUUUUACACCAGGUCUUUGAUAUCAUUGAUAUCCUAGGAUACCUUACUAAAUGAACUAGUAUAAUAGGCAAUGUUCAUGGAAAUGCCCCAAAGCCAAAAGAGUUAAUGUUAUCAGUCUUGGCCUUAGAAAUUAUCCUAUAUAUGGUCUUAUGACAAGGCAUGUCCCUGAGAGUCCUUACCUAAAUUGGGGAUACAUACCUGUAAUUCUUCAGCUACUCUAUGAUGGGGAAUGUCCUGUAUAUAUGUUUUUCAUACUGGUUGAUGAAUGAAAGACUGAUUGGCCAGUAGCCAGGCAAGCAUUAUAGGCAGCACUACAAGACAAAGAGAAUGCUGGGUAUAGGAUGAAGAGAGUGAGCUACCACGGAGAUGCCAUGUAACCACCAAAGGAGUAACAGGUUUGGGUACUCUCCGGUAAGCCAAGACUACAUGGAGAUGAAUAUUUUAAUACCAAUGGGUUAAUAAUUAGGAGAGAGCUAGCCAGUAAGAAUACUGAGCCAUCAGCCAAACAGUUUACAAAUUAUGUAAGUUUUUGUGUGUUUAUUUGGGACUGAAGGGAGCAGGACUAGGUGGAACUAGGCAGAACAGAAACAGAAACAGAACAACUCUAUAACAGAAAAUGCCACUUACAAACAUUAAAUACUACUUACAAAGCUAAAGCAAUGCUUGAAUGUGAACUUUUUCAGGUAUAUUAAUAUCUUCUGAAGCUACUGACACCUGCUCAGGUGGAUGAAGGCCAAUCUCACCUGCUCUAAAAGAAUGCAGGAAAUACUUCCCAGAAUGAAACUUUUACCUUUUGAGUCUCCACAGCCUCACAAUAAUAUUAAAUACAAGCCCAGUUAUGUCAUCUUGUCAAGAAAACAAAAAAGUAGUUCUGAACUUCUCAAAUACAUUGGGAAACUUUCCGCGCAAACAAAUUGUCACAUUGUUUUAAUUUUCUUCAUUAUUCUUAUAUUGUUGGUAUAAUGUUUAUCCAAUUACUAAAACCUCAUCCUAUUUUCAUUUUAAUAUACACUGCAACUGGUUUCUUCUUUUCCUUUUUUUUUUUUUUUUUUUUUUUCAAGACAGGGUUUCUCUGUGGCUUUGGAGGCUGUCCUGGAACUAGCUCUCUUAGACCAUGCUAGUCUGGAACUCACAGAGAUCCACCUGCCUCUGACUCCCGAGUGCUGGGAUUAAAGGCAUGCACCACCACUGCCCAGCUGCAACUGGUUUCUUAAAACCAUUUUAUCAAAUUCUCAGGAUAUAACCAACAUUAUUUUUGCACUGCUCGUGUGUCAUCUCUUCUCCAAUAGUAAACUAUGUAAGAUGGCUCUCUGAGGGCAAUCUUGGUCAUUGACUUGUUUGUCUUCUAUUGAGAUCCAUUCCAUGAAAGGACAAAAGAAACCUAAUUCUAUGUCCUUGUCCAGAGAUAGACUUGGCAAUGUGCAGUGGGACUUAUGACCAGUACACUAAAAAGGCUAAGGUUUUGGUUCCUGGGAACUUGGUUUUUAUCCCCUAAACAGAUUGGAUUUAUCAGUUCCAAUUAACCUUAUAUGUAAUAUGUUUGGUUUGUAAUGUUCUUGAGAUGCCCUGUGUUGCUGAUAUCUUCCUGCUGACUCUGUCCCAUUGUAUGCAGCUCUUCACUAACAAAGUUCCAUUUCUCCUGUAGAAAUAGUAUAUAACAUGAUGUGUUUUAAUAAGCUUGCUUGCCUGAGACAUAGUUUAUGAAAAAUCUACUGAUGCCAAACUUUUCAUUAUUAUUAUUAUUAUUAUUAUUAUUAUUAUUAUUAUUACUAUUAUCCAGGCCCUUCACUUAGAACCCUGUCAUAGAAUAAUGACACCUUUCCAUUUUGUGCGAGUAUUGUUCAAGAUAAUCAUUGUACCUUUAUUUAAAUUUUGAAUUUUAAAAAUCAUUGUAAGCGUUAGGAUGUUCUUUGGGCGUGUGGAUAGUCAAGAAGCAAAGAAUUUCUUCUAAAGAGUUACUUCCUGAGGACUUUUAGUCAGGGAUACAGGUGAAACUCUUUAUGAUUCAGAGAUUCCAGCAAUUUGUAAUUCAAAAGAUGUGUGUUCUCCUCUCAUGCCACUGUAUAGAAUAGAGAGAGCGUUAAUAGGGACUGCAUAAACCAGCAGCAUAGAGAUUCUUAGAGGAGACAUAUUACUAUCUGUGGUAGUUUGAAUGUAAGUGUCCCCCAUAAUCUCAUAGGGAGUGGCACUUUUAGGAGGUAAGGCUUUGUUGGAAUAGGUAUGGAUUUUUGGAGGAAGCAUAUCAUUGUGGGGAUGGUCUUUGAGGCUUCCUAUGCUCAGGAUGUCACACAGUGUCUGAGUUAACUUCCUGUUUCCUGCAAGACACAAGACUUUCCACAUCUCCCUGUAUGCUACCAUGUUCCACAUCAUGAUGACAAUGGACUGAACCUUUAAAACUAUUUUCAGUGUUUCCAAAGAAGACCUAAAGGCUGCAUGUGGCAUUUCCCAUAGAAGUGACAGCCAAGUGUAUUCAACAAAUCAGCUACAGCUCCACCAUAGGACUCUUUCACAGGGCAGGUAGAGAUUGGAAGAAUUUUGUGUAGCUCUUUGUGGCAUUGAACUAACAGAGAUACUGAGCCAUGGGAUUAAAGGCUCUGUGAAGCUUGUCCCACUAUGUUCUUACUGUACUUCAAGAUUAGUGUCAGCGUGGCAAUCUGAAAAUAUGUGGAGCCUUGAAUAUGGAAGCUUAAUAGAAUAUUGGGAUAUAAGAGAGAGAACAACCAGAUGCAUCUUGAAGACUCCAGAGCAGAGAGAAAAUGAAGUAGACUGAACAUGUCCAGUGGACUGGACCUGCCCAUGGCUCUCUGUGAGAGAGGGGGUGAUAGCAGGGAUAGACAAUAUUGAAAGAAUAAUAAAAGAAUCAGUAGCAGAGAAAAGAGAGAAAGAAAUAUUGUAAGAAUAGCAGGGCUAUAAGGAGAAUGAAUAGCUCUAGGGAAGGGGGUAUAUGGUAGUUUGGGGGAUGAGAAGGGCUGGGAUGUUCACAUGGACUUUAAAAUGUGUAACAGGUAGUUAUGAUACUCAAGGAGCCCAGUACUACAGAUAGCCACAUGCCGCUUUAGCCAGAGGUAAGGAAAAUGACUUCUUUUUGUAGAGAGAAAUUAACAUCACAAGCUCCUGAGGAAUGCUGACUUUUGAUUGUCUGUCAUAAGUCCUUCUAUGGACCAGGUUGAACUGCUUUGAUAUUUGGACUGCCUUUAGUAGUUUGAGAAAUUGCAGUUUCCUUUGUACCUGACUGUUUUUAAGGGCAUUGCUAAACUAGGCAUUGUGGCACAUGCCUCAAUGGGCCACCAGUCUUGGUGUUGAAGAGGAGCUUGGGCUCAGACUCCAAGGUAACAGGGCAAGGCACCAUGUCAAAAUAUGAAAUAAAAAGAAACAAACAUUAAUUUCAUUUACUCUUGAUAACAAAUUAAAAAUGCCAGACUCCAUGUCUUAAGGUUACUAUUGUUGUAAUGAAACACUGAACAAAGCAACUUGGAGAGAAAAGGGUUUAUUCAACUUAUACAUCACACUUCAUCUUCAAAAAGUCAAGACUGUAACUAAAUCAUGGAAGGAACCUGUAGGCAGUAGCUGAUGCAGACGGAGGCCAUGGAGAAAUGCUGUUUACUGGUGUGCUUCUUGGGGCUUGAUUGCCUGUUUUCUUAUAGAAAUCAGGAACCACAGCCCAAGGAUACAACCACCUAUAACUGACUGAGCACUCCCUCAUCAAUCAAUAAUGAAGAAAAUGCCCUACAGGCCUGCAGCCCCAUCUUAUGAAGGCAUUUUCUCCACUGAGCCUCUCUCCUCUCUGAUGACUCUAGUUUGUGUCAAGUUGACCUAAAACUAUCCAACACAUUCUCAAAAUACAAUGAGCAAAGUAUGAAGUUAUAUUUGUGUGACAAAUGUGACAAUGAUGCUUUAAAAACUGAAUAAUAGUAAGUGACCCCAAUGGAUGUUUACCACAUAGUUCAUUUUUCAUUUUUCUUUUAAGAAAUAUAGCCUGGAUUUUAGAAGUCAUGUUACAGAUUCAGAAGGUUCUUGUGCUUUGCUGUUCAGUGUUUGUCAGGGCACACACAUGCUCUCUCUGUCAUUUUUUGUUAUGCCAAACUGUUUUUCUGUCACUUAAAAAAAUAUUUCUAAGGCCUAUUUAAAGAUAACUUCUGCUCUGCUUCACAAUGACUUCGGAAACUCGCUUCAGUGUUUAAUAAGUAUUGCCCUUCUGAGGAAAUGUUCUUUAUAGCUGACUUAAAUUACUUACUCUGUAGCAUAAAGCCAUUUGUAGUUUUGUCUUCAGCCAUCUUCUUCAGAGGGUAACAAUUAGAAGAUAACCACUAAGUUAUCACCCAUUCACAUUCUGGAGUUUUAUUUGCUUGUUUCUUCUUUACACAGAGCUAAAAGUUCUGAAUUUCUCACUACAAUUCUUAUUCAGAAGUUCACUAUUUACAGUAGAAAUAAAUAUACAAAGAAGAGGUUCUUCAAUUGGGCUUAAGGAAUGUGUGAUAUUUUAAAUCAGUCCUUGUCAUUCAGUAACACAAAAUUUCAGGUUAGUCUGUGAGUUUUAUGUUAUAAUUUUUGGGGGUUAUACUGCAAUCCUGUCUAAUCCCCAAUCCUGUUUUAUUGUGAAAAUCUACAAUUGCUAUAUAUGUUUUCUCCAUGAGUAAUUUUUUUUUCUAGUUGAAAAGGUACACAGUCUUCAUCUCAGGGGUAUGAAAACAUUCUAAAAAAAUUAUUUCCUCUGAACUUUGGAUAGCAGGCUACUAAAGAAAUAGAAGCCCCCAAAUAGAAAUUUUCCUAGGAAUAUGAUAUUGAGAGAAUAACUGAAGCCUGGUGACAGACAAAAUAGGAUGUUGUCUCCAGGAAUGAGACGUCACACAGGCCAAACAACUUAUCAAAUCAACUUGCAGGAGUUGCCUAAAGUUGAGACAAUUAUAAGGACAAGAUCUCUUGGCCAAGAUUCCUUCUUAUGAUCAGUCAUGCAUACCUCUCGCCUUACAUUUAAAUUUAAUUUCAUAUAAGAACUGUAAAAAUGACUUCUUUGUUUGUCUCCCUCAUAGGACUACCUUGAACAAAUCUCCUUUAUCUUCUUCAUUACAAUUUGUUUCUUUAAUUGGAUUAUAGAGAAUUCGAGGCUGGUCCUAGGGCUGUCAGGGCUCUGCACUGUCCCUCACAAUUCCAUAACAAUGCUAUGUUCCCUUUUCAACUUAAUGAAUAUAACAUCUAUCUGUAUGCAUGUGUUUAUAUGUUAUCUUUGUUUACCAAACAAACAAACAAAAUUUGCAUCACAAAAAGACAUGGGAUAUGUUGAAAAAUCUCUUAAAUUAAGGGAACCAGUUUUGUUAUUUGUAAGAUAAUUUUUAUUGAAUAAAAGACAAAAGAUAUCAUAAGAGGCUAUUUUCCAUCUUAGUAUCAAAUUUUGGGGUUAGAGAUAUGGUUCAAUUGCUAAGAAUUUGUACUGAUGCUCUUCCAGAGGAAGCAAGUUCAAUUCCAAGCACUCACAUCAAUUGACUAAAAACUAUCUGCCGCUCCAACUCCAAGAGAAUAUGACACAUCUGACACAUUCAGACACCUGCACUCAUGUCCACAUUCAUACACACACCCACACCCACACAAACACACACACAAAUAAAUAUCAAUUUUAAAGUUUAUUUUAGUAUCAAAAGACUUCCUUUUUCUGUAAAUUAAUGAAAUUAUUAAACAUAAAUUUGCUUACACAUCCUAUGGUCUAUAAUAAUAUUCAUAUGUUAUUAAUAAUACCAUCCAAUAUAAAGCAUUCGAAAGAAAAACAAUUUAUGCCUGGGCUUUGGAGACACAUGCCUUUAAUCCCGGCAAUCAGGAGGCAGAGGCAAGCAGAUUUCUUUGAGUUUGAGGCCAGCCUGGUCUCCAGAGCAAGUGCCAGGAUAGGCUCCAAAGCUACACAGAGAAACCCUUUCACAAAAAAACAAAAAAAAAGGAAAAAAGAAAAAGAAAAACAAUUUAUGGCUAAUACCUCUAUCUGACUGAAUCUAUGUAUCCUUCCUGCAGUGGUUUCAAUAGGUAUGGCCCUCAUAGAUUUUUGUGUUUGAAUGCUUGGCCUAGAGGAGUGGCAUCAUUAAGAAAGUUGGCCUUGUUGCAGUAGGUGUGGCCUUGUUUGGGAAAAUGUGUCACUUUGGGUUUGGGCGUUGAGGUCUCAUGUGCUCAAGCCAUGACCAGGGUGGUAUACAGUCUCCUUCUGCUGCCUGAAGAUGAAGAUGUAGAACUCUUCAGCCAUUCUAGCACCAUGUCUUCCUGCAUUCUGUCAUGUUUCCCACCAUGAUGAUAUUGGACUAAACAUCUGAAACUGUAAGCCAACCCCAAUUAAAUGUUUCCUUUAUGAGUGCUGUGUUGCCAUGUUAUCUCUUCACAGCAAUAGAAACACUAACUAAGUCUCUCAACAUAAAAUUAACAAUACUCUGCCAGUUUUUAUUCUUUUGGAAAUAAAUAGGCUUCUACUUUCAAAUUUAUUCUUCAAUUUAUCUACAGUAUAUAGAGAGAACUUGGAAUUAUCACCUAUGGGAAAGGUAUGACCAAGAAAUUAUUGCAACAACAGCUUUGGUGUACCUUUGUAGAAAAUUUGGAUUCAUGUAGCCCAUUGGAGACAUCCUCUACAAUUAUGGUCUUCAUGGCUCUUGUCCAAUUUUUAAACAUACAAUGCUCCUAAUGAAUAUAAAUGGGGCAUGUUGCAUUGAUGUAACAAAAAUUACAUUUGAAAAGAAUAACAUGGUGUAAAGAAUGGGCGUCUCUUGAAGGUAUGCAUGAAACCAAGUACAUUACACCUUUCCUUAACACUAUAAAAAAACUGCCACAGCUCUCCUCUUAAAGGUAAUAAGAAAUACUUCAUUAUGUAGCCAUUUUAAAUUAUCAUGGCUUGGAAACACAGAUUAAGUUUGCCACAAGUUCCAUGUUAUAAUAUGGAAGCAUUUCCAUGAAGUUUAUAGUUUUACAUAACAAGGAGAGUCAUAAAUCAUGACAAGCUAAUGAAUUUGUGGGUACAAAAAAGGUAGUUACAGUAAUAUGGGUGAACCUUUUCUAUAGGCAUCAUUUCCUAUUUGAUGAUUUUCUUAGCAUUUUGGUUGGUGGAAAGUAGUGAUUUGUUAACAGAUUACAAAACACUUCUAUCAAUUAGACACAAAUAUAUUAGUUCCAUCAUAGAGGUAGUCAAGGAAUGCCUAUUUAGGUGGUUGUGGUUAGUCAGAGAUAAGGUAAUUAGCCUCUGUAUUCCAAUCUUUCCCUAGCAUUGCAGGUUUGGUCUGUCUUUGCAGGUACAAUUCCUUGUCAGAAAUUCUAACAGAAAAAGGUAUAUUAUUAAAUAUACUAAAUAUAAAUACUCAUAGGGUAUGUGCUGGAAGGUCCAAGGGCAUAAUAUUAUCUAAUAAUUAUGGAGUGAAUCAUGGCCACAGGAAUCAUAACACCUAAUACAACAGACAGUUGGACACUGAGUGGUACAAAAAGAAAUGUCAUAAAGUCACUAGUUCAGGAAUAUUUCUAAAUCCAUUGUCCCCAAAUUCACCAGCUAAAGAAUCAUUGUAAACGUCAGGAGUCAGAAAUACAGAAAAAAAAAUCUAAAUAUUGAAGAAAUGGUUUAUAGCAACAAAUUUAUUUCCCAGACAGGAGGAAUGCAGGAGUUACAAAGGCUUAAUGUCAGCUUGUGUUCAAUGGAAACUGUGUUCACCAAUCUCUGAAUUGAAACAAUUUAAUUUUAUACUGUUAAUUUUUUAGAAUAAUCGAUCUACAUGGUUAGUAGUCACCAGUACAUAUUUAUUUGUUCUUCUAUUUUUAUAAUGUUAAGGAAUUACCUCAAAGGCCUCAACACAUGGUAAGCAUACAUGCCACCAGUAACCUACAUCCUCAGCCAAUGGUACUUUAAUAUAUUGCAUUUCAGCUUAACCUAAAACCUGAAUAUCAGGGAUAUUAGUGAUAGCUCAAAGUAGAGCAUGAGCUUAGUAUUUACCCCAGAUCAAACCUGUAGUUAGUGAAAAAUAAUCUAAUAAUUUACAUGGAAAUAUAAAUAAUAAUAAUAAAAUCAUAUCUCUCAGGAACUGAGUAAAAACCCCUCACCAAAAUAUUACAUAGCCUAUCAGUAAAGUUGUUGCAAGCUGGAUUUGUCUCUGAUGUGAAAGUAUGCAUGCAAUUUUCAAAAUAAGUUAAUGGAAUUCAUUAUAUUAUGAAAUAAAAUAAAUAUCACAUGAUCAUAUGAAAACAUUCAGAAAGAUCCUUUGUCAGAAGACCAUGUUGAUUCAUCCUAAAGACUCUCCAUAAUAAAAAAAAUACCAGGUAAUUUCUGAAGCUUAAUAAUAAAGAUGUUAAAACCCUGUUACAACAUACUAAUUAGCUUGAAACCCAAAGAUUUUCUACAAAGAUCUGGAUAAAGAUAGUAAAGUUUCCUCUCACCACCCAUUAGUGUCCCAGUAGUUCGAUGCAAAAAGGAAGUCCAAAUACACAGUCAUUGCUAUUAUUAAUUAGCCAGAAAUGAGUGAUAAAUCUAAAUUAUAUAAAUGUGACUCACAAAAGAUAAAACAGGAAAAAUAUAUGUAUUUAGAAAUACACCAGUAAGUUAUAAACAUUAUAAAUAUACAUGUAGCUGACAUCAGAGCAUAAAGUGGAAAUACUGAUAGAUCUAAAAUAUCUCAGUAAGGAUUUAAUUGCUUUUAAGACUGAAUAAAAUAUCCAGAUGGGAAUCAGAAGACAAAGAUUGGACAAUAGUAUAAUCCAAAUAGAUAAUGCAUUACAAAAUUCACAUUCUUCUCAAUUGCACAGGGAAAUACUCCAAGCUAGGUCGUGUUACACAACAAAUGUAUCUAAAUGAAUUUGGGGAGAUUAUCGACUUCAACUGAAGAAUUAUUUUCCUGUCUGUAAUGGGAUGGAAUCAACACUGGUAGGAUGAGAAAAUUCACAGCAAUAUAGAAUUUAAUAGCACAGUUUUAAGCAUCAUUAGUUCAUAAAAAGCAAGUGCAGUAAAGGGAUAUUAAAUAACAUAUAAAUAUGCUUUAAACUAUUUCUUCUUUUGAGUUUGUAGCUUAUUAUUUAUUACAUCUUGUAUGUCAACACUGGAAAUUUUAAAUAUUCACAUUAAUUUUUACUACAUAACAUCAUUUGACAAAUUUCUUAUUUUUUUUAAUGCAGUUUGAAUAUCCUAAAUUGACAAAAGCCAAGGAAAAUUUUCAGAUUGUAAAAAUAUUCAUGUGACAAAAAUCUACAAUAUUACAAA